rnacentral:rRNA from 1 species
GGUGAGUAAUGUCUGGGAAACUGCCUGAUGGAGGGGGAGUAACUACUGGAAACGGUAGCUAAUACCGCAUAAUGUCGCAAGACCAAAGAGGGGGACCUUCGGGCCUCUUGCCAUCAGAUGUGCCCAGAUGGGAUUAGCUAGUAGGUGGGGUAACGGCUCACCUAGGCGACGAUCCCUAGCUGGUCUGAGAGGAUGACCAGCCACACUGGAACUGAGACACGGUCCAGACUCCUACGGGAGGCAGCAUG